CCUACGGGGGGCAGCAGUAGGGAAUAUUGCUCAAUGGGGGAAACCCUGAAGCAGCAACGCCGCGUGGAGGAUGAAGGUUUUAGGAUUGUAAACCCCUUUUGUUAGAGAAGAUAAUGACGGUAUCUAACGAAUAAGCACCGGCUAAAUCCGUGCCAGCAGCCGCGGUAAUACGGAGGGCUCAAGCGUUACUCGGAAUCACUGGGCGUAAAGAGCGAGUAGGCGGGAUAGCAAGUCAGAUGUGAAAUCCUAUGGCUUAACCAUAGAACUGCAGUUGAAACUGUUAUUCUAGAGUAGGCGAGAGGUAGGUGGAAUGCUUGGUGUAGGGGUAAAAUGCGUAGAGAUCAAGAGGAAUACUGAUUGCGAAGGCGACCUGCUAGAACAUAACUGACGCUGAUGCGCGAAAGCGUGGGGAGCGAACAGGAUUAGAUACCCGAGUAGUC
rnacentral:rRNA from 1 species